GUUGAAGAACGUAGCAAAAUGCGAUAAGUAAUGUGAAUUGCAGAAUUCAGUGAAUCAUCGAAUCUUUGAACGCACAUUGCGCCCGCCAGUAUUCUGGCGGGCAUGCCUGUUCGAGCGUCAUUUCAACCCUCAUGCACAGCUUGGUGUUGGGACUCGCGUUAAUUCGCGUUCCCCAAAUUGAUUGGCGGUCACGUCGAGCUUCCAUAGCGUAGUAGUAAAACCCUCGUUACUGGUAAUCGUCGCGGCCACGCCGUUAAACCCCAACUUCUGAAUGUUGACCUCGGAUCAGGUAGGAAUACCCGCUGAACUUAAGCAUAUCAAUAAGCGGAGGA
rnacentral:misc_RNA from 1 species